rnacentral:rRNA from 1 species
CCUACGGGUGGCAGCAGUGGGGAAUAUUGCACAAUGGGGGAAACCCUGAUGCAGCGACGCAGCGUGAAGGAAGAAGUAUUUCGGUAUGUAAACUUCUAUCAGCAGGGAAGAAAAUGACGGUACCUGACUAAGAAGCCCCGGCUAACUACGUGACAGCAGCCGCGGUAAGACGUAGGGGGCCAGCGUUAUCCGGAUUUACUGGGUGGAAAGGGAGCGUAGGCGUUUUAGCAAGUCAGAAGUGAAAGCCCGGGGAGCAACUCCGGGACUGCUUUUGAAACUGUUGAACUAGAUUGCAGGAGAGGUAAGUGGAAUUCCUAGUGUAGCGGUGAAAUGCGUAGAUAUUAGGAGGAACACCAGUGGCGAAGGCGGCUUACUGGACUGUAAAUGACGCUGAGGCUCGAAAGCGUGGGGAGCAAACAGGAUUAGAUACCCCUGUAGUC